CGGUAUAUUCAUUCUCCUUAAACAUAAAAACAUCACAGAUUUUCCAGAUGGUAAAAAAAAUAUUUUAAAGAAGACUAUGAAUAUUUAUAUUUCUCACAUAGGAGACAACUGUGUCAUCCUUUAAACAUAUUCCAGUAAAACAAGAAAUUCACCAUACAAUGGGAAGUAACUCUUGUUAAAAAUUACUCAUUUCUCAACAAAUAAAUUAUUACAAUAUUACAUUUUUUUUUUAGCCAGCAGAUACUUUUGUAAUAAAAUGUCUUCAUUAUAAGAUUGCCGCUGUCAAAGUUUUAAGAGACACCUGUCAGGAAAUUAAAAGCAAAAAUCAUAAAUUGCACAGAAAAAAAAUACUUUCAGGUUGCCUGCAACAGUUGAGAAAAACUUCCGAAAGUUCUUUAAUAGAGCUCUUAAAUCAUAUAUGACUGAGAGUAACAAGGUGAUCAUGUUUUUUUUAUAUUCUGUUUCUCCUAAAAACAUAGUAAAUACAUAGUAAAAAUAUACAGAAUGUAUUGAAAAACUAAAUUCACAAACAAUAAAACCUUAAAU
rnacentral:lncRNA from 1 species